rnacentral:rRNA from 1 species
AAAGUGGCGCACGGGUGCGUAACGCGUAUGCAACCUACCUUUAUCUGGGGGAUAGCCCGGAGAAAUCCGGAUUAAUACCGCAUAAAAUCACAGGAUGGCAUUAUCCAAUGAUCAAACAUUUAUGGGAUGAAGAUGGGCAUGCGUGUCAUUAGCUAGUUGGCGGGGUAACGGCCCACCAAGGCGACGAUGACUAGGGGAUCUGAGAGGAUGGCCCCCCACACUGGUACUGAGACACGGACCAGACUCCUACGGGAGGCAGCAGUAAGGAAUAUUGGUCAAUGGAGGCAACUCUGAACCAGCCAUGCCGCGUGCAGGAAGACUGCCCUAUGGGUUGUAAACUGCUUUUAUCCGGGAAUAAACCUGAGUACGUGUACUUAGCUGAAUGUACCGGAAGAAUAAGGAUCGGCUAACUCCGUGCCAGCAGCCGCGGUAAUACGGAGGAUCCAAGCGUUAUCCGGAUUUAUUGGGUUUAAAGGGUGCGUAGGCGGCCUGUUAAGUCAGGGGUGAAAGACGGUAGCUCAACUAUCGCAGUGCCCUUGAUACUGAUGGGCUUGAAUGGACUAGAGGUAGGCGGAAUGAGACAAGUAGCGGUGAAAUGCAUAGAUAUGUCUCAGAACACCGAUUGCGAAGGCAGCUUACUAUGGUCUUAUUGACGCUGAGGCACGAAAGCGUGGGGAUCAAACAGGAUUAGAUACCCUGGUAGUCCACGCCCUAAACGAUGAACACUCGCUGUUGGCGAUACACAGUCAGCGGCUAAGCGAAAGCGUUAAGUGUUCCACCUGGGGAGUACGCUCGCAAGAGUGAAACUCAAAGGAAUUGACGGGGGCCCGCACAAGCGGAGGAGCAUGUGGUUUAAUUCGAUGAUACGCGAGGAACCUUACCCGGGCUUGAAAGUUAGUGAACCAUAGAG